GACGAACGCUGGCGGCGUGCUUAACACAUGCAAGUCGAACGGCAAGGCCUCAGCUUGCUGGGGUACUCGAGUGGCGAACGGGUGCGUAACACGUGGGUGAUCUGCCUUGCACUCUGGGAUAAGCUUAGGAAACUGGGUCUAAUACCGGACAUCAACUGCCUUUAGUGUGGAGGUUGGAAAGUUUUUUGGGUGCAUGGUUAGUUGGCGGCCUAUCAGCUUAUUGGGGGGGUCAUGGCCUACCACGGCGUCGGCGGGUAGCCGGCCUGUGGGGGUGUACGACGAUACUGGCACUUAGGGACGGCCCAGGCUCCUACUGUAGGAAGCAGGGGGGAAGAUUGAACAAGGGGCGGAGGCCGGAUGCAGAGACGCCGCGGGUGGGAUGACCGCCUUCUGGUUGUAGAAACCUUGCGACAGGGACGAAGCUUUUUGUGACGGUACCUGUAUAAGAAGCACCGGCUAACUACGUG
rnacentral:rRNA from 1 species